CAUGCACACCCAGCUGUGAGGUGGUCCCUUUUGGUUAAGGAGAGGACAUGUGGGCGAAUGAAAUGAGGAGAAAACAAGAAGAGGGGAGGCCUCUUAGAGGGGAUUAUUAAGACAUUGGUUGAAAAAGAGAAAGAGAGGGUCUCAUUUCAUCAAAAAAAGAAAAACUCAUUUUUCCUUCUUCCCCAAGGACACGCCGCCAUCGUCAUCUUCAUCCUCACUAAAUCGGCGACCUCGCCUUAACCCACAACUCUGUUUUACUCUUUCUUUCCGCCUCAUUCGCUACUUUUGUUUCCGUUUCUUAAUUUUCUUCCAACUACAAUCCACACAGUAUAGAGAAUUCGUUUCCCAAACCUUUAGCUCAUAAAGAGCACCACCAACGUAGAACGACGAUCGGUCGUGAAGCACCUCAACGUCGCUGUCUUCAAGCUCGACAUCUCUUCACCAUGAACAAAAUCAACUCAGCAAGGACGAAUAGAGUUAACGCGGUCUCGAUCCGAGCAGUGUAAUAACUUUCGAAUAAGGGGUACGAUCUCGAUUCAGAUCUGUUUUGGAUCUGUUUACACCUGUUUUAUUUACCGUUUCCUUUCCUAUGGACAUUGAUGGACUGUUGUGUCGGCGCCGUUGAUUUUGUCACCAUGAUGCACGUGUGUGUUGUUUUUCACUGUAGGUUUUAUUGCGUUGCCAAAUCGAUAGUGUGAAUCGUGUUUCACUCUCGAUUAAGUUUCAGUGCGUACUUUAUAUUAAUUAUAGUUUUGUUUGGACAAUGCAUCAAUAGAAUGGUGUAGUAGACGCAUUUGAGUUGUUGUUGUUGUUCAUGUAAAUUUAAUGUCGGUUUUAGAUUGGAAAGUUUGUUUAGAGUAUCAGUUUAUGACGAUGAAGUUGUUCUGCACGUAGUAAAUGUUACGACUCUGCUUAGUAAUGUUUAAUGUUCCUAAUGUGGUUAAGAUUAAAUAUGGUAAAAGAAAACCAUGUUUAAAAAGAAUGUUGAAUUUAUGUUUUAGUUGGCUAUAUUUUUUCCAUUCAUGGCAUCUCUGAAAUACUUCCCUUUAUGGAUUGUUUUGAGGCACAGUAUGUACAGUGCACGGUUCAUGGAAAGAGCACUUUGAUUUGCAUAGUUUUAAAUCCACUAUUUUCUUGUAGCAGGUUGCAUGAGCUUGUUUUGGUUUUGUAAAAAAAAAGAGGAUCAUGUUAUUGUUUCAUCUUUGUGAUUUUAUUUAUACAUUUCAGCAUUUUCGUUUAUGUCAUAUAUUGGUGAUUGAAAGCAUAUAUCAGUAGGUGAUCCUGUUAAGUGGUAAAAGUGUAGGUUUGCAUUCCUAGGACCAUGGGUUCAAUCCUUGUGCAUGUCAUUUUCUAUUUAUUUCAUUAUUUUACCAUUUUUGUUUAUUAUUUUCUCUUUUAAUAUUUUUAUGUUUUAUUCUCAUUUUUACGACACUUGUUGAUUUUUAUGUAUGUCCUUGAUCUAUUGUUUAAACAUCGAUUUUUUUAAUUUAUGGAUUUGCC
rnacentral:lncRNA from 1 species